CAGAUAGAUCAUGUCUCAAUCUUUUUGUUAACUAAAUGUCUUUAGCAUAUAGCCAAUUUUUAUGGCUAAAUAUGACAACCUUCUAAGCAUUCUAGUAUGAAUUAGUUCAUUCAAGAGCAUAAUUCUGAUUGGGUGGUGAUGAAGGCUCUCCAACGACGGUUUGUAUACUACUGUCAGAUGCUAUUCCAGCUGAUGUGGGCUUAAUGUUGUAUGCAAAUAAAGUGUACCUUAUGUUAGACUUUGGUUCCGUCAACUUGGCCGCUGAUUUCGCAC
rnacentral:lncRNA from 1 species